AUCACUUUGGGAUGGACCCGCGCCGUAUUAGUUAGUUGGUGAGAUAAAAGCCCACCAAGACGAUGAUACGUAGCCGACCUGAGAGGGUAAUCGGCCACAUUGGGACUGAGACACGGCCCAGACUCCUACGGGAGGCAGCAGUAGGGAAUCUUCCACAAUGGACGAAAGUCUGAUGGAGCAACGCCGCGUGAGUGAUGAAGGUUUUCGGAUCGUAAAACUCUGUUGUUAAAGAAGAACAAGUGUUAGAGUAACUGUUAACACUUUGACGGUAUUUAACCAGAAAGCCACGGCUAACUACGUGCCAGCAGCCGCGGUAAUACGUAGGUGGCAAGCGUUGUCCGGAUUUAUUGGGCGUAAAGCGAGCGCAGGCGGUUUUGUAAG
rnacentral:rRNA from 1 species